rnacentral:rRNA from 1 species
UACGUAGGGGGCAAGCGUUGUCCGGAUUUACUGGGCGUAAAGGGCGCGUAGGCGGCUGUCCAAGUCAGAUGUGAAAGCCCCGGGCUUAACCUGGGAAUUGCAUUUGAGACUGGGCGGCUUGAGUUUCGGAGAGGUGGGUGGAAUUCCCAGUGUAGAGGUGAAAUUCGUAGAUAUUGGGAAGAACACCGGUGGCGAAGGCGGCCCACUGGACGAACACUGACGGCUGAGGCACGAAAGCGUGGGGAGCAAACAGG